CCGACUUUAGCUCAGUUGGAAGAGCGUGAGACUGUAACUGGAUACCUGAUUACGUAAUCUCAAUGUCGCCUGUUCGAGCCAGGCAAGUCGGA